UACGGGGGGGGCAAGCGUUUGUUCGGAAUUACUGGGCGUAAAGGGCUCGUAGGUGGCCAACUAAGUCAUACGUGAAAUCCCUCGGCUUAACCGGGGAACUGCGUCUGAUACUGGAUGGCUUGAGGUUGGGAGAGGGAUGCGGAAUUCCAGGUGUAGCGGUGAAAUGCGUAGAUAUCUGGAGGAACACCGGUGGCGAAGGCGGCAUCCUGGACCAAUUCUGACACUGAGGAGCGAAAGCCAGGGGAGCAAACGGG
rnacentral:rRNA from 1 species